UAGCGGUCUGGGCUUCUGCUACAAAAGGAACCAACACCAACUCCCGCAAUCAAAUCAUAAAGAGAGCCAGCGGCCCUAAGUGCCCCCGUGGCCGUCACUCACUCACUCCAACCCUAGGUUCUCUUGGACCACUAACGCAGAGCCAACAUCGAUCAUCUCCCCCAGCGUCUCUGUCAGAACCACCACCGUCAUCAUCUUCUUCUUCUUCUCUUCUUUCUUUUUCUUUUUCUUCCACCUUCGCCGAACAACCACGGCGAAAACCCUUUCUCUCUUUCUCUUCCCCUGUCUCCUGCCUUCUCUGUCUCGCCGCCGGGGGCUACCAUCCAAUGCCGCCGCAACCAUCUUCUUCCCCUCCUUACAACCUCGCACUGUGGCUCUCAGCUGGCCCUUGCCUCCCUCAUUCCCAGUCGCAGAAUUAGAACAGAGCCACUAUAGUUCCAGCGAGUUCAAACGCAGCAGCGACUGGUCACUGCCACUGCAUCCCUCUCUCCUUUGUUCUUGUUCUGUUCUUUGACUCAGGUUAUCCAUUUAUCAUAUUUGUGCAAGAAAAAUGCAUUCAUAGUUCUUGAGUUCUUGUAAUGGGAGUGCAGUUAUUCUUUUACACUAUGGACAGUAAGGAUGAAAAUAUCAUGGAAGCAGAGAGCCCUUGAUUUAAGAUAUUUCUUAGUGCUGCGGAUUAUAGCAAUGUUAGUCGUGCUGGUUGAUAGCAUCCAUUCGUUGAAUAGUGAUGACAUUGGAUGGAGCAGCUACUGAUGACAUUGCAUUGGGUGUUGCUGUUGGAAGUAAAGGAAAAGGAAAUCUGCAUCGCGCAACAUUUAAUAUUCAAGCCAUACUUCUAUUACUACUUAUUGGUUCAAAGCAGCAGCAGAGAAGAAAAAGAGUGUUCUGAGAUAUCUAUUUCAACAGCAAGGUGAGGAGCUGCCAGCAAACAUCGCUGCAGGGAUGAAUUCCGUGAAAGGAUAGAGUGAAAAAUAGAAUCCUAAGAUUGGACUUAUUUUGGUUUGAAGCAAACAUAUUUUUAAAUUUGACUAUGCAAUUUUUAGCAAGAGAUUUGCUAUGUUGAUAUUUUUAUAAAUAUAUUAUUUUAUUUUCCAGUUAA